ACCUUGCUGACGAGUGCCGAACAGCAUGAAACCUAGGUCCAGGGU
rnacentral:hammerhead_ribozyme from 1 species